rnacentral:lncRNA from 10 species
CUCACUGAACCUCUCUGAUGGCUGCCCGAUCGUUCUGAUGGGUGGUGAGUGGGUGCUGAUGGCAGCCUGGUUUGAAAAUCUCCACUGGAGAGAAGACACAGCAGGAUUCAGAUGCAAAUGACCAGAGCACUCCAAGUUGGAAAGAACUGCUGAGCGGGUCUGUAGAGCCCAUCGCUCUCUCCUGUCUAUUCAUCAGCUAGGCUGAAGCUCCUGACAGACUCACACCAGUAUCUUGCUGCUCCAGAAAGGUCGAAGAUGGCAGUUUUCCCAAACUCCGGCUUGCCCAGAUGUCUGCUCACCCUCAUUCUUCUCCAGCUGCCCAAGCUGGUUUCAGAUAGGUCUCUCUCUCUGGCCUGCAGAGUUAAAACAUCUCAAUAAAUAUAAAGUAUAAAAAGAAGCUGGAGCCCAACCACUUCGGCACAUGUUCACAGGAUCUCGGGGCUGUGUCACAAGCCACUGGGCACUCAUAUCUGGCUGAGAAUAAAUCUCUUGCAAUAUUUUACAGAGUUUGACUCUUUUUGUUUGACAAAAUAAAU